UACGUAGGCAGCGAGCGUUGUUCGGAGUUACUGGGCGUAAAGAGUGUGUAGGCGGUUCGCCAAGUUCGGUGUGAAAUCUCCCGGCUUAACUGGGAGGGUGCGCCGAAUACUGGCGGGCUAGAGUGCGGGAGAGGAGAGCGGAAUUCCUGGUGUAGCGGUGAAAUGCGUAGAUAUCAGGAGGAACACCUGCGGUGUAGACGGCUCUCUGGACCGUUUCUGACGCUGAGACACGAAAGCGUGGGUAGCAAACAGGAUUAGAUACCCUGGUAGUCCACGCCCUAAACGAUGCAUACUUGGUGUGGGCAGUUCAUUCUGUCCGUGCCGGAGUUAACGCGUUAAGUAUGCCGCCUGGGGAGUACGGUCGCAAGGCUGAA
rnacentral:rRNA from 1 species